rnacentral:tRNA from 1 species
GCCUUCGCGGUGUAGUGGUCAGCACGCUCGACGCGUAACCGAGAGGUCCGUGGUUCGAUUCCCGGCAAAGGCU